rnacentral:rRNA from 1 species
CCUACGGGAGGCAGCAGUGGGGAAUAUUGGGCAAUGGGCGCAAGCCUGACCCAGCAACGCCGCGUGAAGGAAGAAGGCUUUCGGGUUGUAAACUUCUUUUAAGGGGGAAGAGAAGAAGACGGUACCCCUUGAAUAAGCCACGGCUAACUACGUGCCAGCAGCCGCGGUAAUACGUAGGUGGCAAGCGUUGUCCGGAUUUACUGGGUGUAAAGGGCGUGCAGCCGGGGAGACAAGUCAGAUGUGAAAUCCACGGGCUCAACCCGUGAACUGCAUUUGAAACUGUUUCCCUUGAGUGUCGGAGAGGUAGUCGGAAUGCCUUGUGUAGCGGUGAAAUGCGUAGAUAUAAGGAAGAACACCAGUGGCGAAGGCGGAUUACUGGACGAUAACUGACGGUGAGGCGCGAAAGCGUGGGGAGCAAACAGGAUUAGAUACCCCUGUAGUC